UGCGGAGGAUGCGAGCGUUAUCCGGAUUUAUUGGGUUUAAAGGGUGCGUAGGCGGGCUUUUAAGUCAGCGGUAAAAAUUCGGGGCUCAACCCCGUCCGGCCGUUGAAACUGGGGGCCUUGAGUGGGCGAGAAGAAGGCGGAAUGCGUGGUGUAGCGGUGAAAUGCAUAGAUAUCACGCAGAACCCCGAUUGCGAAGGCAGCCUUCCGGCGCCCUACUGACGCUGAGGCACGAAAGUGCGGGGAUCGAACAGG
rnacentral:rRNA from 1 species